rnacentral:rRNA from 1 species
CCUACGGGCGGCAGCAGUGAGGAAUAUUGGUCAAUGGGCGCGAGCCUGAACCAGCCAAGUAGCGUGAAGGAUGACUGCCCUACGGGUUGUAAACUUCUUUUAUAAGGGAAUACAGUGAGGCACGUGUGCCUUUUUGUCUGUACUUUAUGAAUAAGGAUCGGCUAAUUCCGUGCCAGCAGCCGCGGUAAUACGGAGUAUUCGAGCGUUAUCCGGAGUUAUUGGGUUUAAAGGGAGCGUAGGUGGGUUGUUAAGUCAGUUGUGAAAGUUUGCGGCGCAACCGUAAAAUUGCAAUUGAUACUGGCAGCCUUGAGUACAGUAGAGGGAGGCGGAAUUCGUGGUGUAGCGGUGAAAUGCUUAGAUAUCACGAAGAACACCGAUUGCGAAGGCAGCCUACUAAACUGCAACUGACAUUGAUGCUCGAAAGUGUGGGUAUCAAACAGGAUUAGAUACCCUAGUAGUC